rnacentral:rRNA from 1 species
UACGUAGGGGGCAAGCGUUGUCCGGAUUUAUUGGGCGUAAAGAGCGUGUAGGCGGUCAGGUAGGUCCGUUGUGAAAACUCGAGGCUCAACCUCGAGACGCCGAUGGAAACCAUCUGACUAGAGUCCGGAAGAGGAGAGUGGAAUUCCUGGUGUAGCGGUGAAAUGACGCAGAUAGUCAGGAGGAACACCGAUGGCGAAGGCAGGUCUCUGGGCAUUAACUGACGCUGAGGAGCGAAAGCAUGGGGAGCAAACAGG